rnacentral:rRNA from 1 species
GACGAACCGAGCGAACGUUGUUCGGAAUCACUGGGCUUAAAGGGCAGGUAGGUGGUUUGGUAAGUCUGUUGUGAAAGCUCCCGGCUUAACUGGGAGAGGUCAACGGAUACUACCAAGCUUGAGUAUAGGAGAGGGUACUGGAAUUCCCGGUGUAGCGGUGAAAUGCGCAGAGAUCGGGAGGAACACCAAUGGCGAAAGCAGGUACCUGGACUAUUACUGACACUCAGCUGCGAAAGCUAGGGGAGCAAACAGG